rnacentral:ncRNA from 2 species
UUCUUAUCCAGAGAGGUGGAGGGACUGGCCCAUUGAUACCUCAGCAACAGACGAUAAUGUACUGUGCUAAUUCCAGAAGCGUCAUGCUUGAAGAUAAGAA